AACACCUCAACCUCUCUUUUUGACAAAAAAAGGGAGGGUGGACUUGAGCUAUCCCAACGACCUUCACCGGUAGGCGGGCGGCUUGAAAUGCAGGUGCAGCUGGACUUUUAUCUGAGCUAAAAGCAUAUCUAUUUAGUCCUCGUCAAACAGGAUUAUUACUUUUGCUGCAGCUAACAUAAAGGAUAAUUGUCCUCUUUGCUGACUGAUGCAGGAUUUUACGACACUUUAUGUGUUGUUCAAC
rnacentral:misc_RNA from 1 species